AUUGAACGCUGGCGGCAGGCCUAACACAUGCAAGUCGAACGGUAACAGGAAGAAGCUUGCUUCUUUGCUGACGAGUGGCGGACGGGUGAGUAAUGUCUGGGAAACUGCCUGAUGGAGGGGGAUAACUACUGGAAACGGUAGCUAAUACCGCAUAACGUCGCAAGACCAAAGAGGGGGACCUUCGGGCCUCUUGCCAUCGGAUGUGCCCAGAUGGGAUUAGCUAGUAGGUGGGGUAACGGCUCACCUAGGCGACGAUCCCUAGCUGGUCUGAGAGGAUGACCAGCCACACUGGAACUGAGACACGGUCCAGACUCCUACGGGAGGCAGCAGUGGGGAAUAUUGCACAAUGGGCGCAAGCCUGAUGCAGCCAUGCCGCGUGUAUGAAGAAGGCCUUCGGGUUGUAAAGUACUUUCAGCGGGGAGGAAGGGAGUAAAGUUAAUACCUUUGCUCAUUGACGUUACCCGCAGAAGAAGCACCGGCUAACUCCGUGCCAGCAGCCGCGGUAAUACGGAGGGUGCAAGCGUUAAUCGGAAUUACUGGGCGUAAAGCGCACGCAGGCGGUUUGUUAAGUCAGAUGUGAAAUCCCCGGGCUCAACCUGGGAACUGCAUCUGAUACUGGCAAGCUUGAGUCUCGUAGAGGGGGGUAGAAUUCCAGGUGUAGCGGUGAAAUGCGUAGAGAUCUGGAGGAAUACCGGUGGCGAAGGCG
rnacentral:rRNA from 2 species